GGGGGGGGGGGGGGGGGGGGGGGGCGGGGGGGGGUGGGGGGGGGGCGGAGUAAGAGCUUGCGCGUACGGGUGGCGAGUGGCGGCCGGGUGCGGAAUCCGUCGGGAUCUACUUUUUCGUGGGGGGUAGCUUAGGGCAACUUACGCUACUACCGCCGACGACCUACGGGUGAAAGCCGGGCCUCUUCGUCCCUUUCGCGAUUGAGUGAGACGAGGUCGGCGUAGCUUGUUGGCGGGGCAAAGGCCCACCAAGGCGACCACCCGUAGCUGUGCGUAGAGGAUGAUCAGCCAAACUGGAACUGAGACACGGUCCAGACUACUAAGGGCGGGAGCAGUGGGGAAUAUUGGACAAUGGGCGCAAGCCUGAUCCAGCCAUACCGCGUGGGUGAAGAAGGCCUUCGGGUUGUAAAGCCCUUUUGUUGGGAAAGAAAAGCAGCAGGUUAAUACCCCGCUGUUCUGACGGUACCCAAAGAAUAAGCACCGGCUAACUUCGUG
rnacentral:rRNA from 1 species